GUCGGAGUACAUAGAACAGCUGAGGUAGCGUUCAGUUUCAGCCCCCAUGCCAUUAUGAUGGAUGUUUACAUCUCUACAUUGAGAGCCAAUUAUCUCGCUUUUGUGUGAGGCCCAAGGAUCACUCAUGCUGCCUGGCUGCACAGAGCACUGUUGGAUCUAGCCGAACGAAUUGUUUUCUGUCUCUGAGAUAUGAAUAUGGAAAGAAGCUGAACGAACUGAAGCAGUAGUCUUGGUCUGCUCCAGAAGCCUGAUGAAAGAAAAGGUUUUAAUAGGUCACUUUAAAGCAUUUUAUGAAUGAUACAUUAUUGCUUAUAAUUUGACCACAGACUAAUAUCACAAAUAUAGUUAAUAUUCACUUUAUAUUUACUAUCAGCUAGGCUGUGUGAUAGAUAAGCACUUUACAUUUUCCCCUUUUACUCCCAGAAGUCCUAAGAAAUGUAAACAAUUUAUUAUCACCAUUUUAUUAAUAAGGAAACAUAGAAUUAGCAGAAUUUCACAUACUAAUAAGUGAUUGAACUGGGAUAUAAAGUUAAAGUAGGUGAUUUAUUUGCAGAACUUUUAUCCAUGUUGUUUUGUCAAAUACGUACAUUUCCAUUUGUUCACCUGUAUGUAGGUAUUUAUGUGUGCUUCUGUAUGUGAUGUGUGUUUUGUACAUGCCUAUGUUUAUAAUAAACUAUAUAUCCACACAUUCUUCU
rnacentral:lncRNA from 1 species